GCGCGGCCCCCGCCGAGUCCGACAUGUUCGGAGCCGGGGACCCACCGAGAACCUGGGGUGAAUCGGUCCCGUACGCAGUACGGAACCGUAGGGCAACCUUCCGGACCACCCGCCCGAACCCGACAGCUAACCCGGUAGGCGGCCUACGGAAGGAGUC
rnacentral:sRNA from 2 species